rnacentral:rRNA from 1 species
AUGCUUUCGGGGUGCUCGGUGUCCAGUCUCGCGGCGAGGUUCGCCUUCUUCCCGCCGGACCCGCCCACCUACGCCCUCCGCAAGGACGAGGCCACGGGCCGCCUCGUCGCCUCGGGCGUCCCGCGGGACAACGCCUUGGAUGUGCUGCUCCUCGACACCACCAGGGGGACCAAGGUCGUCGCCUUCUACCUCAGGAACCCCUGCGCGCGCCUCACCCUGCUCUACUCCCACGGCAACGCCGCCGACCUCGGACAGCUCUACGAUCUCUUUGUGCAGCUCAAGGUCAAUCUCAAGGUCAAUCUGAUGGGAUAUGACUACUCGGGGUACGGAGCAUCUACUGGCAAGCCAAGUGAAGAGAAUACAUAUGCAGAUAUUGAAGCAGUUUACCAGUGCUUAGAAACCGAGUAUGGAAUCAGCCAGGAAGAGCUUAUCCUGUAUGGACAAUCUGUUGGGAGUGGGCCCACAUUGCAUUUAGCAUCUCGUUUACCAAGAUUGCGUGGUGUGGUUCUUCACAGUGCUAUACUGUCAGGCCUCCGUGUUGUUUGCCAUGUGAACUUUACUUUUUGCUUCGACAUUUACAAAAAUGUCAAAAAAAUAAAGAAGGUGAAAUGCCCAGUGCUUGUUAUUCAUGGGACCGAUGACGAUGUUGUGAAUUGGUCACAUGGUAAUGAGCUGUGGAAACUGGCAAGGGAGCCGUAUGAUCCACUAUGGAUCAAAGGAGGCGGUCAUUGCAACCUGGAGCUGUACCCUGACUUCAUCCGCCACCUCUCCAAGUUCAUCCGUGAAAUGGAGAGUGUGACAACGAAAACGAGGCUGAAGAAGAUUCGGCAGUCCCUUGAGCCGACAAAGACAGCAUAUCGAGUGAACACAGCAACGACCACCACCUUCACCGCCAACUGUUGCUGCCGUAUUCGAGUUCGCAAACCGAGCUGCAAUCUCAGCUGCAGCUGCUGCCACGCCCUGAGGAAAUGCUUCACAUUUGGUGCAUUCAAGUGCCCAGCCUGCUGCAGCUGCUUCAAGUGCUGCUGCUGUGGCCGAUAA